rnacentral:lncRNA from 1 species
GUGAAUCAUGGGUCAGAGACCCUGUGAGAAAUUAUGAUAGCCUUUCAUUCAGCAUCAGUUCUAUUCAGAUGCAGAGUGGUUAGCCACUUCUGAACUUUGCAACUGUAUCAUCAGCAGCUAGAUAUUGAGCCUCUACUGUUUGGAAAGUCAUACUGUAGCUCGAUAAACACUGGGUAUGGCACUUGUGAGAGCCAGGGCUUAAUAGCAGAAGGCAAAUAACCAUAUAAAGCAAUAUCAUUUGUCCUGGGUGAGAAGUCCUAAAGAUGUGCAGAGGUGGACAAUCAGACGUUGAAAUGACUAAAGAAGUCUUCAUGGAUGAGUGGACAAACUGAACUUUAAACACAAAGUAGUAUUUGAAUAAGUGGAGGUGGAGAGUGUUCUGGACUGUUACAUUACAGAAAUGGAAUCAUAUAUACCUAGAGGCUGGAAAGUUUAAGGCAUCUUUGGAGAAAAUUUAGAUUAUUGGAUUUAACCAUAUGAAAUUGCUGUUCUUAUAGGUAAGAAAUGGUCAAAUAUCACCAAGUGCACAAGACUCAAGACUGGCAUAGUAGAAGACAAAGGUGGAUAUAUGGGAAUUAGUAAAUAAGCUGAAAAUGUGAAGUCAUGCAAAGAUUUGUUUGAAAAGCAAAACGUUUCAAUAAAAGGUCUUCCUGGAUUAAGAAUCUAAGUAUGAUUUUCAUGAACCACCACCACUAAAGAUCAGAUAAUAUUAUUCAUGCUGC